UGAAUACGAGACGCUAAGGCGUCGAAGUAGUGUAUGUCAUACUUCCAAGAAAAGCUUGCACUGUCAUAAGUAAAAAAUGCCUGUACCAUAACCGACACAGGUGGGUAGGUAGAGUAUACUAAGGGGCGCGAGAUAACUCUCUCUAAGGAACUCGGCAAAAUAACUCCGUAACUUCGGGAGAAGGAGUACCUUAUUCUAUAAGGUUGCAAUAACAAGAUCCAAGCAACUGUUUAUCAAAAACACAGGUCUCCGCUAAGUCGUAAGACGAUGUAUGGGGGCUGACGCCUGCCCAGUGCCAGAAGGUUAAAGAAGUCGGUUAGCAUUAGCGAAGCUGGUAACUGAAGCCCUGGUGAACGGCGGCCGUAACAAUAACGGUCCUAAGGUAGCGAAAUUCCUUGUCGGGUAAGUUCCGACCCGCACGAAAGGCGUAAUGAUUUGGAUACUGUCUCGGAGAGGGGCUCGGUGAAAUAGACUUGUCUGUGAAGAUGCGGACUACCUGCACCAGGACAGAAAGACCCUAUGAAGCUUUACUGUAACUUGAAAUUGAAAUUGGACUUUAUUCGCGCAGUAUAGGUGGGAGGUGUUGAUUAUAAUCUUGCGGGAUUAUUGGAGCCAUCAGUGAGAUACCACUCUUGUAAUGUUAGAUUUCUAACUUUGAAUCAUUAUCUGGUCAAAGGACAGUUUCAGGCGGGCAGUUUGACUGGGGCGGUCGCCUCCCAAACGGUAACGGAGGCGUACAAAGGUUUCCUCUGAACGGGUAGAAAUCGUAUCUAGAGUGUAAAGGCAUAAGGAAGCUUGACUGUGAGACCUACAAGUCGAACAGGGACGAAAGUCGGUCUUAGUGAUCUGACGGUACUGAGUGGAAAGGCCGUCACUCAACGGAUAAAAGUUACUCUAAGGAUAACAGGCUGAUCUCCCCCAAGAGUUCACAUCGACGGGGAGGUUUGGCACCUCGAUGUCGGCUCAUCGCAUCCUGGGGCGGUAGUACGUCCCAAGGGUUGGGCUGUUCGCCCAUGAAAGCGGUACGCGAGCUGGGUUCAGAACGUCGUGAGACAGUUCGGUCCAUAUCCGGUGUAGGCGUUAGAAUAUUGAGAGGAGCCUUCUUUAGUACGAGAGGACCGAGAAGGACAUACCUCUGGUGUACCAGUUAUCGUGCCAACGGUAAACGCUGGGUAGCUAUGUAUGGAGUGGAUAACCGCUGAAAGCAUCUAAGUGGGAAGCCCACCUCAAGAUAAGUAUUCUC
rnacentral:rRNA from 1 species